rnacentral:tRNA from 1 species
GGAGUGUAGCACAGUGGGUAAGGAACUGGGCUUGUAACCGAAAGGUUGCAGGUUCGAUUCCCGGUAACACUUCC